GACGAACGCUGGCGGCGUGCCUAAUACAUGCAAGUUGAGCGCUGAAGGUUGGUACUUGUACCGACUGGAUGAGCAGCGAACGGGUGAGUAACGCGUGGGGAAUCUGCCUUUGAGCGGGGGACAACAUUUGGAAACGAAUGCUAAUACCGCAUAAAAACUUUAAACACAAGUUUUAAGUUUGAAAGAUGCAAUUGCAUCACUCAAAGAUGAUCCCGCGUUGUAUUAGCUAGUUGGUGAAGUAAAGGCUCACCAAGGCGAUGAUACAUAGCCGACCUGAGAGGGUGAUCGGCCACAUUGGGACUGAGACACGGCCCAAACUCCUACGGGAGGCAGCAGUAGGGAAUCUUCGGCAAUGGACGAAAGUCUGACCGAGCAACGCCGCGUGAGUGAAGAAGGGUUUCGGAUCGUAAAACUCUGUUGGUAGAGAAGAACGUUGGUGAGAGUGGAAAGCUCAUCAAGUGACGGUAACUACCCAGAAAGGGACGGCUAACUACGUG
rnacentral:rRNA from 1 species